rnacentral:tRNA from 1 species
GAGGGUAAGGCUCAGUGGUGGAGUGCAGUCUUAGCAUGCACUAGGUCCUGGGUUCAAUCCCCAGUACCUCCA